rnacentral:pre_miRNA from 1 species
UAUUAGAAAAAUUCAUUCAUUUGUACUAUUAAAAAAUAGUGUGACUAAUAAAAUAAUCAGACAAUCAUAUAUGGUAUGUUAUAUGUACCUCAUACUGACUUAUAGAAACCAAUUUCUAAUAGUAAAAAUGGAUGAAAUCUUUAACA